GUGUGUGUGUGUGCACGCGCGUGCAUGUGUGGGUGUGUGGCACUGAAGAGAUCUAGGGGACCCAGAGCUUCACAUCUUAAAUAUUUCUCCCUUCUAUCCAUUUCUUUCCAGCUCCAUCAACAUCCACCCUAAGCCCUUGAUGAUUUGUAAUCAGUGACAGUCCCAAGAACCAGCUGGUCAGUCGGGCUUUUUAGCUCCCUCCCCUCUACUGUUCUGUCUCACAGCCUCCCUGCCCUCUUCUUUGGUAUGCACAAUGGACAUUUUCUCAGUCCCUCUUAGGUAAAGUGACGUGCAAAUAAAACUUCUGCUCCCUUACUUUUCCUCUUUCUUUCUUCCUGUCCUUUUUCUUCUUCCAUCUCCUUCCUUCCUUCCUUUCCUCCCUCCUUGUUUGCUUGCUUGAUAGGGUCUCACUGUGUAGGCCAGGCUGACCUUGAAGUCCUGAGCCUCCUUCCUCAAGGAUGCUGAGGUCACAGGCAGUGGCCACCACGCGGGGCUCAGACACCUGCUUCCAGUCCUCUGGCAGGUAACCUUUCUGGGUUCACGGCAGUGUCCCCUGGCCUCCCACUAAUCGCCCUGUGGCCAGUACCUCCCACCCACCAAAGUCCUAGUUCCUGUGGGUUUCCAUUCCAACGUGAGAAACAGCAGAAGCUGGAGAGUCUAACAUCCAACACUGGGGCAGAGGGAGGCUCCUGGCGUCAGAGCUGGGGAGAGGAGUUUGGAGGUGUCAUUGAAGUUCUCCAUACGGCAACCAGGGAAAGAAAUUUUUUCUAACUUCAAGUGUGGGUGUCACUCUUAGGUCCUUUCUGGAAUCACAGGAAACCCCAAGACCCCCAGUUCCCCACAUGGUAAACCACUGGACUAUUCUGUGACCUGUUCCUCCACAGCUUUCUCCACCUGAGCCCCCUCACAUCCCUUCCUCCAUCCCCCACUUAGACCUCGCACCUCCUCAGGGUGGGUGUGAGUUCCUGGAGCCUUCUCAGCCUGCAGGUACAACGGAUUGAGACAAGCUGUGUCUUCUGCUCCUCAGCACGGGAUCGAACUUGGGACCUUGUGCUUGCAAGGCAGGCGCCAGAACCACUGAGCUAAAUCCCCAGCCCAAAGAGUAGGUACUUUUUAAGAUUUCCAUAGACACUAAAUAUUGCUUCCCAAAGAACAUGUACCCAUCUCUAACGCAGCCACUAGAAUAUGAAGAUUGUGCCGGGCGUGGUGGCACACCUGUAAUCCUACCACUCAGGAGGCUGAGGCAGGAGGAUCACCAGGAGAUCAAGGCCAGCCUGGACUACAUAGGGAAAUCCUGUCACAGCCAAACAGACAAAAAUAUGAAGAUUGUUCCUCUGUCAUGAAUACCACCAAUCAACAAGCUCUGGGGAUUGAAUCGGGAUUUACACCCACUAGGCCAGCACUCUGCCACAAAGACUCAUCCCCAGCCCUUCCCUCCUGCUUGUUUCCUUGAUUCAUUGACCUUCAUUGAUCUUUGGAGGCCUUUAGACUUUUUUUUUGUUACUGGGCAUCAAACUCAGGACCUUGUGCUUGCCAGUCAGGGGGUGGAACCACUGAGCUAAAUCGCUGGCCCUUGAUAUAUAUUUUUUAAUUAUAUGUAAUAGUAAUGUCUCUUCCAAUUUGUGACUUAAAA